UACGGGGGGAGCAAGCGUUGUUCGGAUUUACUGGGCGUAAAGGGCGCGUAGGCGGCCUCUGCAAGUCGACUGUGAAAUCUCCGGGCUUAACCCGGAAAGGUCAGCCGAUACUGCAGGACUAGAGUGCAGAAGGGGCAACUGGAAUUCUCGGUGUAGCGGUGAAAUGCGUAGAUAUCGGGAGGAACACCUGAGGCGAAGGCGGGCUACUGGGCUGAUACUGACGCUGAUGCGCGAAAGCCAGGGGAGCGAACGGG
rnacentral:rRNA from 1 species